rnacentral:lncRNA from 1 species
GAAGUCGUCGUAGGUGAGGCAGUCGGCGCUGGCAAAGAGCUGCUGCGCGGGGAGCCAGUUAUCGGGCACAUAGUCGGUGCCGCCCCUGAUCAGCCAUGUGAAGACCAUGAUUGCUUUCCCUUCAGCCUUCCACCUUUGUAAGUUUCCUGAGGCCUCCCCAGAAGCAGAAUCCUGCAUAGUCUGCAGAACUGAUUUUAGAAUGCCAAGCUGACAUUUUGAGUUUUUAUGAGAAACCAGAAAAUUUGGUGUGAAGACCCUAAGUGGUGUGUCUGACUUACAGCAGGCCCACAGUACCUGUUAUUGAGUGAGAUAAGCAAAUGGUAUUUCAGGACCAAAACAUCUGUUUCCUGAAGAGUUGCUCCUUUAAUUGUGUAUCUACCUACCUGUCUAUGUAACUCUUGGCAAAUACAUUGGAGACUUCUCAACUUUCUGCUUCUGAUGAUCUCAACUUGUGGUAUGGCAAAAGGAGAGCAAAAUGUUCACCCAGGGGUCUGAGUUUGGUUCAAGAGAGGAACUACAGCUGUUGGUGA